GUAAGGUCUUCCGUGCGUCCAGGCUGUGAGUAGAGGAGGGGCAGGUGGCCGUGGGACUCGGAAAGGAGGAGGAAGGAGGAGUUUGGGGUGCGGCGAUCGGCUGAGUGGUGACGACAAGCUUCACAUGGACUGUUACGGCCAGUGUGUACUACAUUGAGAAAGGCCGCGUUGGAGUCCAGGAGAGGCGCAGGAAUGGCUGCCGUCGCCACCACCGCCGCCGCUAACACGACCGCCAGUGGAGUCAUCAUCGCCACUUUGGUUCAGGGAGACACAGCUGCCUUCGUCGUGCGUGGAGCAGUAUUCCUUGAAGUACUUUCAGGAAACUUGCUGACAUUAUCCCGGAUCGUUUCUUGCAAGUGCGAAGACGAAAGGGUUAUCCCAUCAACAAGUGAAGAAAUAGAUGGCCCGGGGAGUGGGAGCGCCCGCCUCACCUCUCAGUUCCACCACUCAGAGACUCACCAGAACGAAAAAGAUGACACGGAAAGGAUCUUAAUGGGACUGUUAUGUAGCUAUCGGGUAAGUUCUCCACUGCUGAAGGAGGUAAGGAAAGAGAGCGGGUGAGUGAGUGACGAGAGGCAAAAAGAUCGUGAGGUGUUAGUUAUGAGGACGUCCCACCCAUUACACGGAGAGCGAUGGCGUGCUCAUAACACGUUUACACUUAUAAGGGUCUCCACCUCCUGCACGUAUGCCAUCCCCUCA